rfam:Triticum urartu cultivar G1812 contig169524, whole genome shotgun sequence.
UAUCUACUCCCUUUGUUCCGAAUUACUUGUCGCAGGUAUGGAUGUAUCGAGAUAUAUUUAGUUCUAGAUACAUCCAUUUAUGCGACGGGUAAUUUGAAACGAAGGGAGUAUCUU